AUGACGCCUUUGCUCUCUGCCCCUUUAUUGAAUUUCCCAAUUUACCUAGGGUAGUUUUGUCUUUUUGGUCUUUAACGUGUGGCUUGUUCUUGGUUUUUAUUUUGUCGUCCUCUUUGGCCCCUUAUUUUUCUUUCCUUUUUUUCUCAUUUCCCUCAAUAUUUUCUCAUUUUCCCCCGAUCUUCUUCCUCAAAUCGCCAAAAAUGGCAUCAAUCACCGUCCCGUUUCCUUCUUUCCAUGGAUAACGCAAGGGUUUUUAGUUCAUCAAAGCAGUUUCCGAGCUUUCCCUUAGCCAUUGAAGGGUUACUCAACUUCUGAGCUGAAGGUGUUUUCGUUUGUGAUCAUCGAAUAUCAACUUCACAAUCUAAGUACUCCCGAUGAAAAUAAAAAACUCCAUUCGGUAUGGUGUUGCGAGAGAGGGAGAUUCGUGGGUAUGGGUUCAUCAGUUUGUCUCACAUCGCCGUUAACAUGACCACUGUUGACGAUGAUGCCGUUGUCCAGGUUCUCCUCUUCUUCUUAAUUGUGUAAAAGAGGGAAAUCAACUGUAUUAAAGCUCACAAUUUAUUCGGAAUGGCCACUAUCUUAUUGCUGCUGCAGUUCAUGGUAUUAAUGGAAGAUUUUGGGCUCGGGUUGAAUUUUUUGAUUUUUUUGUUUUGCUUUUUUUUUUUGGGUUUAAUUUUGUGUGGGCAUGAUUGUUUUUUCAUUGUGAGAGAAUCAUCAAUUUUUAGUACACUGAGCUCUUACGUAUGCAAAACCAUAAUUUACAAGCUUGAAAUGUACUAAUACCUUUCAGUGGCAUAGAAAAUAUGUUUGCUUGAUGGUCGAAUUUCGAUA